rnacentral:tRNA from 1 species
GUUACUGUAGCUUAAAUAUUUUUAAAGCGUGGCCUUGAAAUUGCUGCGAUGGACCUCUACUUCGUCCCAGAAAAC